rnacentral:rRNA from 1 species
AGUGAACGCUGGCGGUAGGCCUAACACAUGCAAGUCGAACGGCCGCACAGUAAGAGCUUGCUCUUACGGGUGGCGAGUGGCGGACGGGUGAGGAAUACAUAGGCAUCUACUUUUUCGUGGGGGACAACGUAGGGACACUUACGCUAAUACCGCAUACGAUCUACGGGUGAAAGCAGAGGAUCUUGGGACCUUGCGCGAUUCAAUGAGCCGAUGUCGGAUUAGCUAGUUGGUGGGGUAAAGGCCCACCAAGGCGACGAUCCGUAGCUGGUCUGAGAGGAUGAUCAGCCACACUGGAACUGAGACACGGUCCAGACUCCUACGGGAGGCAGCAGUGGGGAAUAUUGGACAAAGGGCGCAAGCCUGAUCCAGCCAUACCGCGUGGGUGAAGAAGGCCUUCGGGUUGUAAAGCCCUUUUGUUGGGAAAGAAAAGAAGCAUGUUAAUACCCCGCUGUUCUGACGGUACCCAAAGAAUAAGCACCGGCUAACUUCGUG